AGAGAAUGGACUAUAUCCAGACUUGGUGUAAGCACAGUUUGCUCCAGGAAACAAGAGCUCAAUGGGUGCCACUUGCUACAGAGAUACAGCAAUAUGAGGCCCAUUUAUUGUUUGCUUGUGAGCCAAUAGAACUGUCUACUAUGUGGAUGAGAGGAACGGUGGCAGAACAGAAAAGGUAUCUUGCUCUGGAAACAGAGGCAUGAGUUUUAAUAUGACUGCACAUUUGCACUGAAGGUCAUACCCUGUCAACUGAGAAAUAAAUGGGGUAGGG